GUGAAUCAUCAAAUCUUUGAACGCAAAUUGCACUCCCUGGUAUUCCGGGGAGUAUGCCUGUUUGAGGGUCGGUAGAAGAAAAAUCGGAGCAUCGCUCUUUUUUUGAGGGUGAUCGCGUCGGAAUUGAGCCGUCUUUCAUAUGUUAAUUCAUGUCAAAGUGUCUUAAAAUUCAUCCAUCCGUUACGAUUAAAGCGUAUUUACGAUCAAUUUUGAUUAUGAACGCGCGAUGACGUACCAUCUCAUGUAGUUCGUUUGACCUAUGU
rnacentral:misc_RNA from 1 species